UCAUUUUAGUUCAAUUUAAUUCAAUCCAAACGAUUGAAGCCUUAGUAUAUAACCAAAAUGGUCAUAUGUAAAUUAAAUUCAUCGAAAAGAUAAGUCGAUGACCCACGUAAUACCAACACUUUACACUUAAGUAACAAUAUCUUUUUUACUUAUUAAAAAAAAAGUAACUAUAAUGUUUGCUUCCCAAUCACUAACAAUUAGCCUAAACAACUUUUAAAAAGAGAGCUUUAUAAAAUGAGUACUACAAUAACAAACAUAGUAAAAAGAGCUUUGAAGAAGCACUUGUAGACUGAUGAGUGAAUAAUAAAUUAGAUACAAUAAACAAGGUAUGAAGAAAGGUUUCUGCAACUAAAGAUCUUUUUCCUCUUCUAGGAACCGAAAAAUAUAAUUACAGAGAAAAGGCACUGCAAGGCAAUGAUAUACUCAACUUUCCCUUCCUUCUUAAGAACCCUGAGA